ACCAUGCAGUCGACGCGACUUGGACUUCGGUCCAAGUUGAGUGGCGAACGGGUGAGUAACACGUGGGUGACCUACCUUCGAGUGGGGGAUAACGUCCCGAAAGGGACGCUAAUACCGCAUAACAUCCUGCCUUUGAACAGGUGGAGAUCAAAGCCGGGGAUCGCAAGACCUGGCGCUCGAUGAGGGGCCCGCGUCUGAUUAGCUAGUUGGUGGGGUAAUGGCUCACCAAGGCGACGAUCAGUAUCCGGCCUGAGAGGGCGGACGGACACACUGGGACUGAGACACGGCCCAGACUCCUACGGGAGGCAGCAGUGGGGAAUUGUUCGCAAUGGGCGCAAGCCUGACGACGCAACGCCGCGUGGAGGAUGAAGGUCUUCGGAUUGUAAACUCCUGUUGCUCGGGACGAAAAGCUUCGACCUAACACGUCGAAGUCUGACGGUACCGAGUGAGGAAGCCCCGGCUAACUCUGUGCCAGCAGCCGCGGUAAUACAGAGGGGGCAAGCGUUGUUCGGAAUUACUGGGCGUAAAGGGCGCGUAGGCGGCCUGCUAAGUCGAACGUGAAAUCCCUGGGCUCAACCCAGGAACUGCGUCCGAUACUGGUUGGCUUGAAUCCGGGAGAGGGAUGUGGAAUUCCAGGUGUAGCGGUGAAAUGCGUAGA
rnacentral:rRNA from 1 species